UACGUAGGGUGCAAGCGUUGUCCGGAAUCAUUGGGCGUAAAGCGCGCGUAGGUGGCCAUUUAAGUCCGCUGUGAAAGUCAAAGGCUCAACCUUUGAAAGCCGGUGGAUACUGGAUGGCUAGAGUACGGAAGAGGCGAGUGGAAUUCCUGGUGUAGCGGUGGAAUGCGCAGAUAUCAGGAGGAACACCAAUAGCGAAGGCAGCUCGCUGGGACGUACUGACACUGAGGUCGCGAAAGCGUGGGGAGCGAACAGGA
rnacentral:rRNA from 1 species